rnacentral:lncRNA from 1 species
GUAUAUUGCUCACCUCUAGGAAUGAGAACACAAGUUCUUCUUUCUAUUUUGUUCACAAGGAGCUAUGGGUGUAGUGAUGGUUGAGGAUGUGAUGAUUUACCUUUUAAACAUGCCAGUUCUUGUAAUGUUUGGUGGGUUUAAUGUGUUUUUUCUAUGGCAUUUCUUACUCUUCCCCAUUCUGCUUUAUUCACGAGUUGCUUCUAGGUUUAAUAAGUGUAAUGAAUCACCAAUUGUUUGCUAGUAAUUUCUUUUUCUUUGGCAGCUUUGCUUUCAGUUAGCCUGCCUUCUGAAAACUUUAGUUCUCAAACAAAGAGGGUGAGAUGAGAAUCAAGGUAUUGAGGGAUGAAAAGACUAUUAGCUUCUAUGGUGAUGAAAGCAAUUUGGUUCAUAAUCAUCUACACAAACUUUUUUACUAGACAUCUUUUUUUACAUAAUGAUAUAAUUUGAAGUGUUUUAGUAAUUGGAUACUGGUGAUUGGGGAUGGCAGUAAUGAAGAAAUAAAGGUUAGCAAUUAGUUUCCUGAUUGUUGUUAGUUGAGGUAUGAACUAUAGCUAAAAGUAAGAGGCAUGCAGGAAGUGAUAAAUAGCAAAUUAGGUUCUCAGAUGUUUGGAUGCAGAAGAGGAAAUGCUUGAAACGCUGGACAGGAAAGUGAUUUGAGCUUCAUUUUAUUUUCGUUUUUUGUUCUACUUUUUCCUGUCCAUUUACCUUUGUUUCGUUGUUCGAUUUGUCAGCUUCUUCUAUUAACUCUGUCUUCGCGAUUUUCUGCGCGAUUAUUGGGUCAUUUCGCAAGUUUCUGCAGUUCGUUUGUGUUAGAAUUUCUUUCUCUUUCAGUUUAUUUAUUUCUAACUGAGCUUUCAUUUAUCUGUGGUGCCACUUUGAUUUGUAUUUCAAAUUUUGACAACAAAGGGUAGUACUUCAAAACUUUGGACUAUAUUCUCUGGUUUCAUGGAAAAUUUGGGCUCCAUAGUCUAAUGUAUAGGUGAUGGAAUUGCUAUAGUCUUCCAAUUUUUGGAUAAUAGAGAUGCAUAGGAUUAGAAGGAUAAAUAGCUAAUUGAGUCAGCAUUUAUGUACAAACAGUAGUGCUCUGGGGUUUACUAUAUCAAAAUAUUAUAAGGAAACAAAAAUUUUAAUUAGUUAUUGUAUAAGCUUGUGAUCAAUUGUUCAUAUGAUACAACAAUAGAGGAUGAGGUUUAGAAUAUCGGACUGUUGAUCUUAGUAUUUCCAUGAUUACUCUCAUUUAAAGUGCAUCUUGCAUUACCAGUAGUUGACGAGCUUCAAUGGUUGAUUAAACUUUUAUCGCUGUGUAUGUCUUUAUUUUGAAUUGUAUAGUGAAGCGUUCUGAAACUUCUAAUGUGGCUUUUGCAAUGGAGAUUUCUGGAGUUAUUCUCUAUACCUUUAGGUGAAAAUUGGUUCAGUUGAGUCAAUAACUUCGCUGAAAGUUGAGUACACAGUCUAUAUUUUCUUUAGCAAGAACAAUAACAAAAAUGUUAGAUGUAGUUGUUGUUUCUGCCGUUCAUUUUGAUAAUUUCGACGAAGAUAAAAAUGUUUGUGGAUUUGCUAAUGUGGAGCUUCAUCUAGCCGUUGGGCCCGGGCUCAGCCCGGGCAUAACCUCACUAGUAUUAUAUACAGAGGGGAUUGGAAAUAAUGUCUAGGGCAAAAUAAAUAUUGUGUAGGAUUAGGGGAGGAAAAUAUUAUUAUUUAAAGUAGGAUAAUGAGUUUGAUUUUCGGGUUGUGAAUAAUUUUCACCCUACCAAUAAUACUUGUCAUUAUGAUUAAAGGCCUCUUUUGGGGGUUUAACAAAUUUCUUUUCCCGCCCUUUGGAGAGAAGGGUUGCCCCCAAAAUCUGCAGCGAGUAGUAGAAACUAGAAGAAAUGGAGUUCACACUCAGUGGGAAUGCACUGAAGACAUUCGCCCGAUCCAUCACGUGCCUCGCACGCAUUGGCAAUGAGCUCGUCAUUCAAGCCUCUCCUUCCCAGGUGAACUACUUUGGUUUAUUUGUUUCUUUCUUUUCAG